rnacentral:rRNA from 1 species
GAUGAACGCUGGCGGCGUGCCUAAUACAUGCAAGUCGAGCGAACAGACGAGGAGCUUGCUCCUCUGACGUUAGCGGCGGACGGGUGAGUAACACGUGGAUAACCUACCUAUAAGACUGGGAUAACUUCGGGAAACCGGAGCUAAUACCGGAUAAUAUAUUGAACCGCAUGGUUCAAUAGUGAAAGGCGGUUUUGCUGUCACUUAUAGAUGGAUCCGCGCCGCAUUAGCUAGUUGGUAAGGUAACGGCUUACCAAGGCAACGAUGCGUAGCCGACCUGAGAGGGUGAUCGGCCACACUGGAACUGAGACACGGUCCAGACUCCUACGGGAGGCAGCAGUAGGGAAUCUUCCGCAAUGGGCGAAAGCCUGACGGAGCAACGCCGCGUGAGUGAUGAAGGUCUUCGGAUCGUAAAACUCUGUUAUUAGGGAAGAACAAAUGUGCAAGUAACUAUGCACGUCUUGACGGUACCUAAUCAGAAAGCCACGGCUAACUACGUG